CCUACGGGAGGCAGCAGUGAGGAAUAUUGGUCAAUGGACGAGAGUCUGAACCAGCCAAGUAGCGUGAAGGAUGAAUGCCCUGUGGGUUGUAAACUUCUUUUAUAUGGGAAUAAAACGUUCCACGUGUGGGAUUUUGUAUGUACCAUAUGAAUAAGGAUCGGCUAACUCCGUGCCAGCAGCCGCGGUAAUACGGAGGAUCCGAGCGUUAUCCGGAUUUAUUGGGUUUAACGGGAGCGUAGGUGGAUUGUUAAGUCAGUUGUGAAAGUUUGGGGCUCAACCGUAAAAUGGCAGUUGAAACUGGCAGUCUGGAGUAGAGUAGAGGUAGGCGGAAUGCGUGGUGUAGCGGUGAAAUGCUUAGAUAUCACGAAGAACUCCGAUUGCGAAGGCAGUUCACUGGACUGCAACUGACACUGAGGCUCGAAAGUGUGGGUAUCAAACAGGAUUAGAUACCCCUGUAGUC
rnacentral:rRNA from 1 species